UACGAAGGGGGCUAGCGUUGCUCGGAAUCACUGGGCGUAAAGGGUGCGUAGGCGGGUCUUUAAGUCAGGGGUGAAAUCCUGGAGCUCAACUCCAGAACUGCCUUUGAUACUGAAGAUCUUGAGUUCGGGAGAGGUGAGUGGAACUGCGAGUGUAGAGGUGAAAUUCGUAGAUAUUCGCAAGAACACCAGUGGCGAAGGCGGCUCACUGGCCCGAUACUGACGCUGAGGCGCGAAGGCUAGGGGAGCGAACGGG
rnacentral:rRNA from 1 species